rnacentral:rRNA from 1 species
CUUAUUGACUGAGCGGCGGACGGGUGAGUAACCCGUGAGGAACCUACCUCGGACAGGGGAAUAACCUGAGGAAACUCAGGCUAAUACCCCAUGACCUAUUGGGGAAGCAUUUUCUUAAUAGCAAAGAUUUAUCGGUCUGAGAUGGCCUCGCGUCCCAUUAGCUUGUUGGUGAGGUAACGGCCCACCAAGGCGAUGAUGGGUAUCCGGCCUGAGAGGGUGAUCGGACACAUUGGGACUGAGAUACGGCCCAGACUCCUACGGGAGGCAGCAGCUAAGAAUAUUCCACAAUGGACGAAAGUCUGAUGGAGCGACGCCGCGUGGAUGACGAAGGCCGAAAGGUUGUAAAAUCCUUUUAAACUGGAAGAAUAAUCAUGGUAGGGAAUGACCGUGAGGUGACCGUACAGUUUGAAUAAGCAACGGCUAAUUACGUGCCAGCAGCCGCGGUAACACGUAAGUUGCGAGCGUUGUUCGGAAUUAUUGGGCGUAAAGGGCAUGUAGGCGGUUUUGAAGGCUUGAUGUGAAAUCCCACAGCUUAACUGUGGAACUGCAUUGAGAACUACAAGACUAGAGUUACUGAAGGGAAACUAGAAUUCCAAGUGUAGGGGUGAAAUCUGUAGAUAUUUGGAAGAAUACCAAUGGCGAAGGCAAGUUUCUGGCAGAUAACUGACGCUGAAGCUCGAAGGUGCGGGUAUCAAACAGGAUUAGAUACCCUGGUAGUCCGCACAGUAAACGAUGGAUACUCGCUGUCGGCGAUAUACAGUCGGUAGCCAAGCGAAAGCAUUAAGUAUCCCACCUGGGGAGUACGCCGGCAACGGUGAAACUCAAAGGAAUUGACGGGGGCCCGCACAAGCGGAGGAACAUGUGGUUUAAUUCGAUGAUACGCGAGGAACCUUACCCGGGCUUGAAUUGCUGAUAACGGCAUUUGGAGACAGAUGCUUCCCUUCGGGGUAUCAGUGAAGGUGCUGCAUGGUUGUCGUCAGCUCGUGCCGUAAGGUGUCGGCUUAAGUGCCAUAACGAGCGCAACCCUUGCCGUUAGUUGCCAUCAGGUUAAGCUGGGCACUCUAGUGGGACUGCCAUCGUAAGAUGUGAGGAAGGUGGGGAUGACGUCAAAUCAGCACGGCCCUUAUGUCCGGGGCGACACACGUGUUUCAAUGGUAGGUACAGCGGGAAGCUACCUGGCGACAGGAUGUAGAUCCCGAAAUCCUAUCUCAGUUCGGAUUGGAGUCUGGAACUCGACUCCAUGAAGCUGGAUUCGCUAGUAAUCGCGCAUCAGCCAUGGCGCGGUGAAUACGUUCCCGGGCCUUGCACUAACCGCCCGUCA